rnacentral:rRNA from 1 species
AUGCCUGUCGCAUCUAGCUCUUCUAGCAAGGCAAGCAACAGUAGCGUUUGGGACUUGAUUUGGAAGAGUAAGAUCCCCCAGAAAAUUAAAAUUCUAAACUGGAGGGUAGCUACAGUUUCUCUUGCCACUACUAAAAACAAAAAACGGAGGACACUUGAGGUCAAUGCCACUUGCCCUAUAUGCGGGCAGGAAGAUGAGGAUGUGAACCAUGCGGUCAUCAACUGCACCAAGGCCCGAGCUCUGCGUUCUGAAAUUCGAAAAGUGUGGAAGUUUCCAAGUGAGAGAGCCUUUGCGUACGCUGGCCCUGAUUGGCUACAGUGCCUUCUUGGUACAUGUGAUGUGAGAACCCGUGAUAGGAUCCUUCUGAUGUUCUGGAGAGCGUGGUUCCUAUGUGAAGAUUGCGUGCAUGUCGAUGGGAAAGCUUUGGUUUCUGUGUCGGUGGAUAUCCUGCAUCGUUACGAGAUGGAAAUCAUGCUUGCCUUGGGACCUGAACCGGAUGAUGCGGGUAAAGUUAGCUUGUUCCCUGCGCUGCCAAGUGGGCGGGCACACACUUCGAAUGAGAUUCUUCGCUGGACCCCCCCCCCCCCCCCUGAUAGCUGGAAGAUGAAUGCCGACGCAUCCUUCUUGGAUGAUAGAGACAUGGCAUGCCUCAGAAUGAUUACUAGGGAUUACAAGGGUUUGGUCAUGAUGUCGGUGUGCCGCAGGAUCAAACCUAGUGCAGGGAUCGAAGAAGCGGAGGCAGAUGCAGUGUUGAUGGGACUGACAGAGCUAAUCACACACUACCGCGGGCCAAUCGUAGUUGAGUCUCACUAUAUGUCCUUGAUUAACCGCUUUAAGAAGGUCAAUCCUGACAGAUCGCACCUAUUCCACUUCAUUAACGACAUAAAAAACUAG